GAAUUUUUCCUCAAAAAUCUACGAAGGCACGUUGUCAGAAAAGACAACAUUUGCCUUAUAUCAGAAAGAUCGAAAGGAUUACUUGCUCAAACCAGAAUCUUCUCGAUGGCAGUAGAAGAACGCACGACUGUGCCGUAACUGAGUUCCGCCAUUCGGGAACACUGAAAUUGAUUCUACCUCAAACCCCGAUCUUGAGCCCUAACAUGAAGUAUCCAGCUCGUCAUCACACCACCCGGAACCAGAGCCCGAGCCUUAAUUUCCUCCAUCGUUCAAGGAUAUUUUUGGUGACGACCCCAAGCCUCAACAUUCGACAUGGUUCAGAUCGUCUUCAUACCACCCGG
rnacentral:lncRNA from 1 species